CUACGGGAGGCAGCAGUGGGGAAUCUUGCGCAAUGGCCGAAAGGCUGACGCAGCGACGCCGCGUGGAGGAUGACGCCCUUCGGGGUGUAAACUCCUGUUGCCCGGGACGAAUACCUGUUUCGACAGGGGUGACGGUACCGGGUAAGGAAGCACCGGCUAACUCUGUGCCAGCAGCCGCGGUAAUACAGAGGGUGCGAGCGUUGUCCGGAAUCACUGGGCGUAAAGGGCGCGUAGGUGGCGGGGUAAGCGUGUGGUGAAAGUCCGGGGCUCAACCCCGGAUCGGCCAUGCGAACUGCUUCGCUGGAGCACGGUAGAGGCACAUGGAAUUCCGGGUGUAGCGGUGGAAUGCGUAGAGAUCCGGAAGAACACCGGUGGCGAAGGCGGUGUGCUGGGCCGUUGCUGACACUGAGGCGCGACAGCGUGGGGAGCAAACAGGAUUAGAAACCCUUGUAGUCC
rnacentral:rRNA from 1 species